ensembl:lncRNA GRASLND glycosaminoglycan regulatory associated long non-coding RNA
GCCAUUCUCCUGCCUCAGCCUCCCGAGUAGCUGGGACUACAGGCGCCCGCCACUGCGCCCGGCUAAUUUUUUGUAUUUUUAGUAGAGAGGGGGUUUCACCGUGGUCUCGAUCUCCUGACCUCGUGAUCCGCCCGCCUCAGCCUCCCAAAGUGCUGGGAUUACAGGCGUGAGCCACCGCGCCCGGCCAGUUCAAUGGAUUUUAAAAAUUAUUAUUCUCUAGAAAAAAGACCACGAACUUUGGAGUGGACAUCCUGAGACCUGCCUACGAAGACCAUUAGGGUAAAGAAGUCACCCCUUCACCCCAGGACCAGGAAGCCUCCAGGAUGGCAUAAGCGACCAAACAGCUGGGAGCCAAGCACAGUGCAGGGGGCUUGGGGUCGGCGGCCGGAGGCUGGGUGGCCUCCAGAAGACACUCCCCUGAUUCCUACACCGAGGGAACACACAGCAGCAAGCUAGGAAAGAAGGGGUGACCCAGCCCAACGCUGUAAACCAGGGCGCGAACCGGCGUUGAGCUGUGCAGCUGCGCCCUGGGCUCCAGUCCUGCUCUGCCGCAGACCCCACCGGAGCCAGCACCUGCCUCCCCGACCCUCGCUGGGGCGGCUGUGAGAUGAGCCCAGAGCCUUCCUGAGCCAACCCUCGCAAGGAAAGUCUGUCUGUUCACCCCACUAUCCUUGUCUUGAAGGAUGAAGAAAAGAGGGCCCCCCGGGAGGUCCCAAAAGGUGGAAUGGACAUCUGGGAUCCAAGCACAGCAAUUUCUUUAUUUUUCUUAAGGUAUCCAGCUUGUUGGAAUCUAAGAUCUGCGAAGAUUCUUUUUAGAAAUGUCAUUAUUCAAGAAAAAUGCACAAUGGGAAGAAUCUUAACAACAGCACUUUGUUACUUCAGCCUCUCACUAGAGGAUGAAAAUCGUUCUGCAUAAAGGCCUGGGCUUUAUGAAAAAUAUAUUCACACCUCCCGUGUCCGAGCUGGGAUACCAAAGAAGUUCCUGGUUGAGUACUACUUAUGAAUGAAGGAUUCAGGGGAUGCACAGGACACAGAGGAAUCUGGGGGAUAUUAUGGUUCUGGGAAUGUGGAAUGUAACGUCUCAUCUUCAGCCCAUCUGUGCUACUGAUCAUCUCAUUCCAGAAGCCAUGCCUUCUCUCAGGAGCAGACAGCACAAGACUUUCCUGCCAGAGGCACAGUCCCCAGUGGGAGUAGCAUCCACAUAAGACAGGAUGCAGAGAUGUCUUCAAGCAGCUUCAAACAAAACUUCAAGAAAGAAAGUGCAAGUGAAAAAGGAAAUUCAUCCUUCCAGUCACUUAACACAGCACUGUCACGGACACCUUGUGCCUCCUUAAAAUUCGUAUACUGAAGUUCUAAGCCCCAGUACCCCAGAAUGUGACCUUCUUUGGAAAUAGGGUCAUUGCAGAUAUGAUUAGUUAAGAGGAGAUCAUACUGGAGUGGGCUUUAAUCCAAUAUGACUGGUGUCCUUAUGUAAAGGGGAAAUUUGGACACAGACACACACAAGGAGAACACCAUGUGAACUGAAGUCAAAGAUUUGGGUGAUGCUUCUACAAGCCAAGAAAUGCCAAAGAUGACCAGCAAAGCACCGGCAGCUGGUGGAGGAGCCUGGACCAGAUUCUUCCUCACAGCCCUCAAAAGGAACCAAUCUUGCCAAAGCUUUGACUUAGACUUCUAGCCCCCUGUGAUGGUUAAUGUUAAGUGGCAGCUUGACUGGGUUAAGGGAUGCCCAGAUAGCUGGUAAGACAGUAUGUCUGUGUGCAUCUCUCAGAGUGUUUCUGGACAAGAUCAGCAUUUGAAUCCUUAGAGUAAAGAAGAUCUGCCCUCACCCACGUGCAUCACCCUAUCUCUGGAGAGCGCGAACAAACAGGAGGAAGGGCACAUAUGCUCCUUCUGUUCCAGCUGGCACAUCCAUCUUCUCCUGCCCCCUGACUUCAGAGCUCCUGGUUCUCGGGCCUCAGGAUUCCAGCACUUACAUGAGAGCGUGCUUCCCCCUCCCUACUCCACCCCUAGGUUCUCCGCCCUUUGGCCUCUGACUGAAUUCCACCACCAGCUUUUCAGGGUCUCCAGCUUGCAGACGGCAGAUCGUGGGACUUCUUGGCCUCCAUAAUUAUGUAAGCCAAUUCCCAUAAUAAAUCUCCUAUCUAUCUAUCUAUCUAUCCAUCUAUCAAUCAUCUAUCUAGUCUAUCUAUCUAUCUAUCUCUAUCCUAUUGAUUCUGUGUCUCUGAGGAACCCUAAUACACCUCCAGAACUGUGAGAUGAUACAUUUCUGUGGUUUAAGCCACUCAGAAGGUGGUACUUUGUUUCACCAGGCCUAGCAAACUAAUACAAGUGCAUGGAAGGUGACUACUCAUGACUGCAACUUAGAGAACAAGGGUUAUAAUAAAAAUAAAAGUGUUAUACAAAGGUGGCAAGAUAAAUGACAAUAAAUGAAAAUAUUAACAUGUGAAUUAAAAAGUAAAGAUAUUUUUCCUAGCAUUCUCCCAGAAAGUAGAGACGCGUCUCUCUUGUUUGCCAUCAUAUCCAGCAAUGGCAAGAUAAG